rnacentral:rRNA from 1 species
CAGUAGCCGCGGUAAUACGUAGGUGGCAAGCGUUGUCCGGAAUUAUUGGGCGUAAAGGGCUCGCAGGCGGUUUCUUAAGUCUGAUGUGAAAGCCCCCGGCUCAACCGGGGAGGGUCAUUGGAAACUGGGAAACUUGAGUGCAGAAGAGGAGAGUGGAAUUCCACGUGGAGCGGUGAAAUGCGUUGAGAUCGGAAAGAACACCAACGGCGAAAGCACUCUGCUGGGCCGACACUGACACUGAGAGACGAAAGCUAGGGGAGCAAAUGGGAUUAGAUACCCCGGUAGUCCCUGUCUCUUAUAC